rnacentral:pre_miRNA from 1 species
AAUUGAUCAAUUUUUCACUUUUUACCUUUAAUUUUUGACUCUUCGUCUUAUUUAAAAUUUUUUUGCGACUGAUAUUUUUGUUUUAUUAGAUGAUAAAUCAUAAAGAGUACUUUACGUGUGACUAAUUUUUUUUUAAUUUUCUAAAAAUUUUUAAAUAAGAUGGAUGGUGAAACGUUGAACACGAAAGCUGAAAAAUUCAAUUUUU